AGAGUUUGAUCCUGGCUCAGAACGAACGCUGGCGGCAGGCCUAACACAUGCAAGUCGAGCGAUCGCAGCAAUGCGGGAGCGGCAGACGGGUGAGGAACACGUGGGAACAUACCCUUUGGUUCGGAAUAACUCAGGGAAACUUGAGCUAAUACCGGAUAAGUCGGCAACGAGAAAGAUUCAUCGCCGAAGGAUUGGCCCGCGCUCUCCGAUUAGCUAGUUGGUGAGGUAAUGGCUCACCCAGGCGCACAGCAAUUCAGUAACCCGGGUCUGAAGAAGGAUUGAUUCAAGGCCCACAUUUUGGGGGAACCUGAAGAACACCGGGCCCCCAAAAACUUCCCUAACGGGGGGAGGGCCAGCCAGUUGGGGGAAAAUAUUUGGAACAAUUGGGCCGCAAGCCCUGAUCCAGCCAUGCCGCGUGAGUGAUGAAGGCCCUAGGGUUGU
rnacentral:rRNA from 1 species